CGCAGACGAGAUAAGAGACUCCAAGUUGCGAUUGGAGCACAUCAACAUGCUCAGUUUUGUUGCGGAUUCCGAAUACGGUAUACCGAGAAGGUGUCCGUGUGGUGGGAGGAUCAUUGAUGAGGUUAGGGGUAAGGAGGAGUACGACUCUCUUCCGGGGAAGCGCUUCUUCAGCUGCGCUAAGUACCAGGCAAGUAUUUGUUAUUUCUGUUAUUUCUUUUAGUUGAUAAAUGCACAGUUGAUGAUUUUUGUUUCUGUUUUAAACAAGGCUGAUGGCCUCCAUUAUCGUCAGCCUUGGGUCGCAGGUGUCCAGGAGGAGAUACAACGCCUGACUAGGCGUCUGGAGGAGGCGGAGCAGGUGAUCAAAGUCGUCCCGGAGCUCAAUCAACAGAUUGAUAGACUGGAGGGAGAUGUUUAUAACCUCACCGUGCAGGUAGCUCACCUGGAGAAGCUUUGCUUCGAAUAAAAAUCAAAGGUCACGGGUUCUACUUGUUUGCUUGCUCUACUGCUUUGCUGCUUCACGGGUUGUACUGGUUCUACUUGUUUGCUUGCUCUACUGCUUUGCUGCUUUCACGGGAUGUUGUAGUGUAGUUGUUUCAGUGUACUUGACUAGUGCAGUAUUUUGUUUGUCUCUGCACUUGUCAAAUUUGUAAUAUUUUCGACUUGUCUAUUUUCCCCUCACGGGUUAUGUAUUAACAAACUCUUGUACUUGUCUAUUUUCCCCUCAUGGGUUAUGGAUAAGAAUCUCUAUAAAUUAAG